rnacentral:ncRNA from 15 species
UGUAUCCUUCGGGGCUGGGUGAAAAUCCCGACCGGCGGUAAUAAGGCGCUCCUGCGCUUUACAGCCCGUGACCCGUAUGCAUCUGUAUACGGUGGAUUCAGUGAAAAGCUGAAGCCGACAGUGAAAGUCUGGAUGGGAGAAGGAUGAG